AAACACAAUAUCAGCUCAUCUUUUCAACCCUGUGUGUUGAGCUUUGUUGAGUUUUAGCUAUAGAGUGAGGCAUCUAACCUCUGUACCAUCAUUGUUAAGAGUCGCACACGUGCAGUAAUAGCUAGACAGUU